rnacentral:rRNA from 1 species
GAUGAACGCUGGCGGCGUGCCUAAUACAUGCAAGUCGAGCGAACGGACGAGAAGCUUGCUUCUCUGAUGUUAGCGGCGGACGGGUGAGUAACACGUGGAUAACCUACCUAUAAGACUGGGAUAACUUCGGGAAACCGUAGCUAAUACCGGAUAAUAUUUUGAAACGCAUGGUUCAAAAGUGAAAGACGGUCUUGCUGUCACUUAUAGAUGGAUCCGCGCUGCAUUAGCUAGUUGGUAAGGUAACGGCUUACCAAGGCAACGAUGCAUAGCCGACCUGAGAGGGUGAUCGGCCACACUGGAACUGAGACCCGGUCCAGACUCCUACGGGAGGCAGCAGUAGGGAAUCUUCCGCAAUGGGCGAAAGCCUGACGGAGCACCGCCGCGUGAGUGAUGAAGGUCUUCGGAUCGUAAAACUCUUUUAUUAGGGAAGAACAUAUGUGUAAGUAACUGUGCACAUCUUGACGGUACCUAAUCAGAAAGCCACGGCUAACUACGUG